ACAGAGAGCAAAUUAGAAUGCAUGGAAGUUGACAUGUCGUCACUUAAUUUUUUUGCGCCGCGCAUAAAUCUGAGAAGCGUGAGUUUGUCACAAUUGUUUAUCUAGACAUAGGAUUGGUUGUGUGAAAAUAUUACUGAUGUUUAACGUUAAAAAUGGACCAAAAGAUGAAUGAUAAACAACGUUUGACAUGUUUGAACGAACGUAAAUAGAUUAUUUACUAGGUUUUUUUAGCUUUUCGGCGUGAUUUUACACCCCCCCCCCACCACGUUUUGUGGGACAAUAAUGAACGCAAACUACUUGGUGUUAUUUGGACAUAAAUUAUGAACUUUGUCAAAAGAAACCACAUUUGUUCUGGACCUGCAGUGCCUUCUGAUGGAGAUAAUCAAAGAUUUAAUUUAGAGACAGGUGGAUGCACUUGCAUCGCUGGCCUUGGAAAGUCAUGCAGCCUCAAUUUUGUGGCAGUGCCUCAGCGUUCCAGGCCAUGCAGUACCUGCCUCACCAGCAGCAGGGCUACACUGUACACUGCCACUGACUUCUCAGACAGCUCCUCCUGGCAGACAGGGACAGAGAGAGGGACAGGGACAGAGAGCGGGACAGGGACUCAGGAGGGCGGUAUGGUGCCGGUGGGAUCGUCUCUAGAAGGUAAUCUUGGGAGGAGGCGAACUCUUCCUCCAAGUAUUCCCACCCUUCACACCACUCAGAGCGAGAGAGAGGGGAGAGGGGCUACAAAUGGGAUACCGUGGGCUACAGAGACCACGGCAGACUACGUAACUCACACAACCACCGCAGCAGCAGUCGGAGGCGGAGCAGCAGCCACAAUCGGGACAUCAGCGACAGGGAGAGAGACAGCAACUGCUCCAACAGCUCUGACCCUAGAUUCAACUCCAACUCCCACCAUUCCUCCAACAGCCUGUCCCCGCCUCUGUCCUCCUCCUACCCCUCCUAGUCCUCCUUUUCCUCUAAAGACCUGCCCUCUCACUCUCCCCAUGAUCCCUCCGUCUCCUCUCGCCUAGAGCCCUACUCAGUGUACCAUGCCCAGACCAGUUGGGCUGGUUCUGGGGAGAGGGGCUCUGGUUCUGAUAACAAGGACCCCCCAUCCCAACACAACCCUCUGCUUCCCCUGUGGAGAGGGGAGGAAGAAUCGCACUGUAGUUGCACCAGCCACUCCCUCCUCCUCCACCUUGCCUCCACACGUCCCUACUACAGACGACCAGACUAGUCUCCAUGGAACAUGCCAACCUGGGCCUAAUGAUCCAAGGACUAGACAGGGGGCACACACACACCUGUACAGAGUCAGUCAUCCCUUCAUUCCUCUGUGGAAGACAUUGAGAUCUCAGACGAGGAUGAGGAACACACCAUUACAGCAUUGACCAACCAUCACGCCUCCUCCCCCUCUUCAUCCCAGGCCCUCUCACACAUUCACUAAAACAUAAGCACAACACAUACACACACAACUACACUCACACACACACAUUCACGCUACACACGCCAUGACUGCCACUAUUGGACUUACAUUGUUACUGCACAACUAUUGCACAAUUCAACACUUUAAGCUCUCCAUAACCCCCUGGCACGUGUAAAUACCCUACUGUAAAUGUGUUUGAUUAAAGUUGAAUCAGGUUAGUUAUAACUGGGGUUGGAUUGAAAACUUAAAGGACAGUAGCUCUCCUGGAACAGUGUUGGAGAGCCCUGGUGUACACCAUGUGUAUCUAGGGCUGGACGAUAUGGCCUAAAUAUAAUAUCACUGUAUUUUUCAAUUUCUUUACGGUAUUUGAUGUUUCUUAAUAAUGAAAGUUCUGAAUAUGCUUUAUGGGUAGUGCAUGGCCCUAUAACGAAGUAUUGAUUUCAUAUGCAUGGUGCAGCAACGUAGCCAGUAACCAGACCAGUAACAUAAUUGAACUCAAAAUAUGCUAUUCUAUUUAUUUUAAAAAAAUACAUUUUAUUAGUCUUAUAAUAUUUCUUAGGACCUGCCUAAACAAACCAAUAAUGGAUUUCUUUGUGAUGGUGUGUAUUCAAUGGAUUUAUUCAAAUAGACGCCCGCCCAUAUCGACGCAUCCCUACUCCUCUUCACCGGUGCCAGCAUGCACAAGGAAGGUAUAAAAGGCUUAUGCCAGCAAGAAUGUGGUAAAAAUUGGCCUUUUUUAAAAAGGGGUCAUAUAAACAUUGCCCCACUUGCUUUUUACAGGCAACAUACCGUAAAUCCUAUGUUAAAAUUGUAUUAUCUUCCCUGAUGUCUUGGAGAACCAUGUGUAUCUGAGGAGAAGGGGGAGUAAUAUGCUUAGCCCCCAGCUAGAUAGAAGAUAAGUUAAUAAUGACUGAAAAGGAAAUUUUUUAUCAAAAUGCGUUUUUUGGCAGAAAUGCCUUCUCUAACAUGUGAACUUUUAUGUGCCUUCAUUACAAACUUGUAUACCAUCUGUAAAUAUGAA
rnacentral:lncRNA from 1 species